rnacentral:rRNA from 1 species
CACGCUGUAAACGAUGAAUACUAGGUGUAGGGGGUGUAAACUCCCUCUGUGCCGCAGCAAACGCAAUAAGUAUUCCGCCUGGGGAGUACGGCCGCAAGGUUGAAACUCAAAGGAAUUGACGGGGGCCCGCACAAGCAGCGGAGCAUGUGGUUUAAUUCGACGCAACGCGAAGAACCUUACCAAGGCUUGACAUCCACUUAAGCUCAUGGAAACAUGAGGUCCCUUCGGGGAAAGUGAGACAGGUGG